rnacentral:lncRNA from 13 species
ACAAGUCUUCGCAUUUCAUUAUUUUCAAGAGGGUUUUGGAACGAUUGUUCACAUCGAAGGACAAUUUAGUUUAUUAUACAUUUUGUUCAAACAUUCGAUACAGGGCGUAAAUAGACGGGGCGUGAGAUGUUCCCAAAUGCCGGAAGUGUGGCCUGAGUGAAAGA